UCCUGGUUAACCCAGGCAGUCUCGUUAUAGUUCCCAGCUUCACCUGUUGGCAAAUAACAAUAAGGGUUGCGCUCGUUGCGGGACUUAACCCAACACCUCACGGCACGAGCUGACGACAGCCAUGCAGCACCUGUGCAAAGGCCCCGAAGGGCGUUAACAUCUCUGAUAACUUCCUCUGCAUGUCAAGCCUGGGUAAGGUUCUUCGCGUUGCAUCGAAUUAAACCACAUGCUCCACUGCUUGUGCGGGUCCCCGUCAAUUCUUUUGAGUUUCACCCUUGCGAGCGUACUCCCCAGGCGGUAUACUUAUCGCGUUAGCUUCGACACAACCAGGGUUGAGCCCAGUUACAUCAAGUAUACAUCGUUUACGGCAAGGACUAC
rnacentral:misc_RNA from 1 species